rnacentral:lncRNA from 1 species
GGAAUGUAAAGUGGGCUUAUAUACGAAAGGCUGGAUUUUGAAAUUCAGUGUUUUGUUUACAGGUAGCAGGUCUGUUGUCAUCCUUGGCAUGUGAGAGCCUGAACUCCCAGCAUCUCCAAGAGUGCAGACACAAUAAACCCAGUGGAGAGAGCCUCUGCUUGGGAUAGCUCACCUUGUUCAGCGAGCAAAUUGGGUGAUAAGGGAUUGCAUGUUCCAAC